rnacentral:rRNA from 11 species
GACUCUCGGCAACGGAUAUCUCGGCUCACGCAUCGAUGAAGAACGUAGCAAAUGCGAUACUUGGUGUGAAUUGCAGAAUCCGUGAACCAUCGAGUUUUUGAACGCAAGUUGCGGCCCGAAGCCAUUCGGUUGAGGGCACGUCUGCCUGGGCGUCA